AGUGAACGCUGGCGGUAGGCCUAACACAUGCAAGUCGAACGGCAGCACAGUAAGAGCUUGCUCUUACGGGUUGCGAGUGGCGGACGGGUGAGGAAUACAUCGGAAUCUACUUUUUCGUGGGGGUUAACGUAGGGAAACUUACGCUAAUACCGCAUACGACCUACGGGUGAAAGCAGUGGAUCUUCGGACCUUGCGCGAUUGAAUGAGCCGAUGUCGGAUUAGCUAGUUGGCGGGGUAAAGGCCCACCAAGGCGACGAUCCGUAGCUGGUCUGAGAGGAUGAUCAGCCACACUGGAACUGAGACACGCUCCAGACUCCUACGGGAGGCAGCAGUGGGGAAUAUUGGACAAUGGGCGCAAGCCUGAUCCAGCCAUACCGCGUGGGUGAAGAAGGCCUUCGGGUUGUAAAGCCCUUUUGUUGGGAAAGAAAAGCAGCAGGUUAAUACCCCGCUGUUCUGACGGUACCCAAAGAAUAAGCACCGGCUAACUUCGUG
rnacentral:rRNA from 1 species